rnacentral:rRNA from 1 species
CCUACGGGAGGCAGCAGUGGGGAAUAUUGGGCAAUGGACUCACGUCUGACCCAGCAACGCCGCGUGAAGGAAGAAGGCUCUCGGGUUGUAAACCUCUUUUAAGGGGGAAGAGAAGAAGACGGUACCUCUUGAAUAAGCCACGGCUAACUACGUGCCAGCAGCCGCGGUAAUACGUAGGUGGCAAGCGUUGUCCGGAUUUACUGGGUGUAAAGGGCGUGCAGCCGGGGAGACAAGUCAGAUGGGAAAUCCACGGGCUCAACCCGUGAACUGCAUUUGAAACUGUUUCCCUUGAGUGUCGGAGAGGUAAGCGGAAUUCGUGGUGUAGCGGUGAAAUGCGUAGAUAUUAGGAAGAACACCAGUGGCGAAGGCGGAUUACUGGACGAUAACUGACGGUGAGGCGCGAAAGCGUGGGGAGCAAACAGGAUUAGAUACCCUUGUAGUC